AGAAAACCCUAAGCACAUUCAACAUAACAAAAAAAGAAAUUCACUCUCAUCAUAAGUAAAUUCAACAAAAUUUACCAAUUCAUCACCACACAAGUCCGACUACACUUAAAUAAAAUCAGUUUUAACAGAAAAAUAAUUGAACACAUAAAACCCAAGGCACAUACAAAAAAAAAAAAAAAAAAUUCAUUCUCAACCUAAGUAAAUUCAAGUGAACAAAUUUUACAAAUUCAUCACCACACAAGUGUGAAUAUUAUUAGAUUAAAUCAAUUUUAACAAAAACAAAAUGAACAACUUCACCACAUGCCAGCAAUACACAGUCAAUCUUUCAAAUACAGUAGUCUCAAUCUCCUACAACAACUCCAAAUGGGUGCCUGAAGCUGGGACAAAGGGAGAAGAGAAAAGGUCACGAAGAGAGAGAAAGGUUGCGAAGAGAGGAAGUUUUUAUGUGAGAGAAAAUUCAAAUGAAAUAAAAUACUAAUCCCUAAACAUCCAAAGCAAGUCUACUCGAAAAAGCAGCCCGUUACAAUAUAUAAUACUAUACUACAACGAUUCUUUUUUUUUUUCCAUCCAAAAGACCUUAAAAUCCCGCCCAUUUCCUUUUUUUUUUUUUUUUUUUUUUACCUACCUAUUUUUUUGGUGAAGAGAUAUUUGUGGUUGUUUUUUUUAACCUUUAUCACCUACUUAUUUUUUAGUUAAGAGAUAUUUAUUGUACGAUUUUCUCCAUUCCCCCAAAGUGUUAUAACUUUGGCAGAAUUGAACAUUGCUGAAUAAUAUAGCUCUUUUUUCUUUUUUUGUUUUUUUUUUUUGUUGGUUGACUUCUACUAUAAUGCUAUAAUUCAAGCAGGAAUUUUUUUUUCCCCCCUGAUAACAACUAAUCUAAACAGGUUAAUAUUAACUGUUUUUUUUACAUAAAUGUACUAAGUUAACAUCCUGGAUGUACUAAGUUAACAUCGUGGACAUCGCACAGAUACUACCUACUUUCAAAAUAAAACGGAGUCAAUAUAGUCAGCACUUUACAAAGCCUCACACAAUUCCCAUAUUGCCCUCCUAUUUACAAGUUUUGCAUAUAGCGCAACUAUGCGCCUAGGAGACUCGUCAAAUUGAGGAAAGUUACUUGAAGCUCGAAUCUGAUUCACCUGAAUAUCAAACAAUUCCUGGAAAACGAGUUAGUUUCUUUUUUACUAGUGGAAAGUAUUUUCAGAAUUUUUUUUUUCCUUUAAUUUUCUUGAUUUGUAACCCUAAUUAUUAUCGCACAAGGUAGGGUUCUUGUUUUUUGAAUUCCUGGAUUCUUGGGUUAAUUGUCACUGUUCGUCUCUCUCAUCAUAUUGAUUUCAAUAUUAAGUGGCUGACUGGCUGGUGACAAUAACCUAGAUUGAUUUCAGAGUUGGAAGUUCUUAUUGUGGUUUCUAGUUAUAGUUGAGUUGUAAAACCAUGAAUCUAUGCUUGGAAGUACAACUUACUUUACAGUAUGCUGUUGUUUGGAAUUCUGGAAUUCAAUUUUAGUUAGCUCUUAGCAUCAAAUAUCUAAUAUUUGCCGUCCUUCAAUUGAGUUAUCUGCUAGAAGUGAUGGAAUGUCAUUCGUUUUCAUAUGUUUUUUGUGAUUGUUGCUCAUUAUUGUAGAUACUUAAUUACUGGUAAGGCUUAGAGAGGUUUUCGCUGGAGUCGUAAUUACAAAUGAUAAAUGUCAUCUCUUCUUGUUA